rnacentral:tRNA from 1 species
AAUGAGAUGCCUGAUUAAAGGGUUAUUUUGAUAGAAUAAAUUAAGCAAUUACUUGCUCUCAUUG